AUCAGCACUUUAUGCCUGAAAGGGCCCAAGACAACCAUUGCCUUCACUUUCCGCUACCCUUCAGAGUGACCCCAGCAUAUUGCCAGAGGCUCCUUGGACCUUUCAAGCCCACCAGGAUGAGGCAAGAAGCCAAGAGGAUUCCUCCCAGCCUUAUAUAAUGGACGUCUUGAACCCGGCUCCUCAAACUGAGCAGCGUGUUCCUGACCAGAGCUUCAGCAACUAAUACCGAUCUGCCCUGCCAUCCCAUAGUCUCUCAGCUGUCAGCCUUCAAAAGCAAAAAGGCUUCAUACAAGAAGGUUUUCCGAUGGGGCAGAGCUUGUUUCUUGAGAACCGCGGCCAACGUUUGGUUCAGGUCUGGCUACUUACGUUCUGUGUUCUGCUUUGCUUCAGGACUGGAGAUGCUGUGAAAUGCAGAAUCUGCAAUCCAGGUGAUGUGAAGUUUUGCAGAACCCAUGAUGUGACAUGUGAGGGAUCAUAUUGUAUGAAGAUAGAAAGCUUUUCGGGUACAACUGGUGAAUUGGUUUCAGUCUUCACACACUGUGGCACUGAACGUUUGAAAGAUAAAUGUGGACAGGAAGCAAAGGUCAAGGGAGAAAUAAAGAAAUUGUCAUGCUGUAAAACUGACUUAUGUUUUGACUGAUUUUACUAUUCUGUUCUUGAAUUGCUCCUCCUUCCUGUUCUAGAUGUAAAUGUAGAUCAGAGUUGGGUGAGGAGUAACCUUUGUCCUCUCUUUUGGUAUGGAUUUUGGACUAAUACAAUAAAAUUAUCUUCAUUGACUGGUUAAUCUCAAAAAAGAUACUUCUCUAUCUCUCUCCAGUUGAAACUGGUGAAUUGGUGAAAGCCUUCAAAGAAUGUGGCCCUGAUCAUAUGAAAAGGGCAUGUGGAAUGGAACUAUCAGAUGAAACUAAAAUGAAAACGUUGUGCUGUGAAACUGACUUAUGUUUUGACUGAUUUUACUAUUCUGUUCCUAAAUUGCUCCUCCUUCCUGUUCCAGAGAAGAGGACCACCCAUUUGUGUCCACUCAUUUAUGCAUUCCUUCACUGUAACUUCUCCCCACAAAAGUGUGCAAUUGACUGCAGAAAGAGGGUGGGGUGGGAUGUUCCUUGAUGAGUUCAUAGACACCUACCAAGCGGUGCUUUACACUGUCUACUCUUACCUUCCCCACACCUGACCUCAUAUGAAGUCAGGCGUAGGGUGGAUGUGGGCUGGGGUGGGGGUCUUCUGAAAUAGCCUCUUGUGCCAAAUGGGGAAGACCAGAAUGCUUCCUUAUGCCCAGAGGCCAGAGUUCCCCUCCCUUGCUAGAACUGGGCAAACCACAGAAAAGGUUAUCAAAAAUACUAGCUUUUGUGGUAGGGAUGGUGACGAGAUUCAUUAAACAAGAGGGUGAACUUGGAUGGUCUCUGCCUGCUCGUGAGCAAAACCAUCUGCCUCAAGUCAUAGGACAGUUUUCUAUCUUGGUCUGUUCUCUGUCUGAGUCUCAUGAUUCUCUGCAAACUCUGAAUGAUCAUGAGCCCCAUUCCUAGAGAGGGAUCGUACUUUGGCAUAACAGGCAUCUGCCCUAAUUCUGGCAGGGCCCUGAUGAUUUCUCAGCUCCUAAUUACAUUCUGAGAACAUCUCGUUCCACACAGUCAGUCACGAUGGUCAGGUAAGGGGCUGGAGACACUUCCAUCUAGAUUCUCCUGGGUCCUGUCCUUUGGAUUCUCAAUUCAUCUCUUCCUGGAGCUCAUGGAACCCCUCUGUUCUUCCCAACCCCUCCUUGGUUGGAGAGCUCAAAUGUUCUCUUUUCUCUUUCCUGAACAUUUCAAUGCAACUGGAACGUAGCAAAGCUUUUAAGUAGUUUGGACUGGUGGGAGUUCUAGGUGGCCAAUCACGAUAGAGUUCGCUAAUAAUAGUUAAAACGAUUGCUAGUUUUGCAUGCAGAUAUAACAUGAGAGUAAUACCUUGCAAUAUUGUUUUCUCAGAUGCUUCAAUGCUUUCUUUCAAUAAAGUUUGCACUUGAA